GGUCUAUUGGUCCAUCUCUGGUAGCUAUAUAUGAGCUCUGACCAGAAAUGCUAUGAUUAGACCAAAAUCAAUAGUGCAUGUCAUUUGAUUCGCAUCUUGAUAGGAAUCUGCUGAUCCUAUAUACUAUGAUUAUGCAGAGCCGAUUUGUGCGAUUACAUUU
rnacentral:snoRNA from 2 species